GACGAACGCUGGCGGCGUGCCUAAUACAUGCAAGUAGAACGCUGAAGGAGGAGCUUGCUUCUCUGGAUGAGUUGCGAACGGGUGAGUAACGCGUAGGUAACCUGCCUGGUAGCGGGGGAUAACUAUUGGAAACGAUAGCUAAUACCGCAUAAGAGUAGAUGUCGCAUGACAUUUGCUUAAAAGGUGCAAUUGCAUCACUACCAGAUGGACCUGCGUUGUAUUAGCUAGUUGGUGAGGUACCGGCUCACCAAGGCAACGAUACAUAGCCGACCUGAGAGGGUGAUCGGCCACGCUGGGACUGAGACACGGCCCAGACUCCUACGGGAGGCAGCAGUAGGGAAUCUUCGGCAAUGGACGGAAGUCUGACCGAGCAACGCCGCGUGAGUGAAGAAGGUUUUCGGAUCGUAAAGCUCUGUUGUAAGAGAAGAACGAGUGUGAGAGUGGAAAGUUCACACUGUGACGGUAUCUUACCAGAAAGGGACGGCUAACUACGUG
rnacentral:rRNA from 1 species